rnacentral:rRNA from 3 species
CCUAUCAGCUUGUUGGUGAGGUAAUGGCUCACCAAGGCGACGACGGGUAGCCGGCCUGAGAGGGUGACCGGCCACACUGGGACUGAGACACGGCCCAGACUCCUACGGGAGGCAGCAGUGGGGAAUAUUGCACAAUGGGCGAAAGCCUGAUGCAGCAACGCCGCGUGAGGGAUGACGGCCUUCGGGUUGUAAACCUCUUUUAGUAGGGAAGAAGCGAAAGUGACGGUACCUGCAGAAAAAGCACCGGCUAACUACGUGCCAGCAGCCGCGGUAAUACGUAGGGUGCAAGCGUUGUCCGGAAUUAUUGGGCGUAAAGAGCUCGUAGGCGGUUUGUCGCGUCUGCUGUGAAAUCCCGAGGCUCAACCUCGGGCUUGCAGUGGGUACGGGCAGACUA